GAUGAAGAACGCAGCGAAAUGCGAUAAGUAAUGUGAAUUGCAGAAUUCAGUGAAUCAUCGAAUCUUUGAACGCACAUUGCGCCCGCCAGUAUUCUGGCGGGCAUGCCUGUUCGAGCGUCAUUUCAACCAUCAAGCCCCCGGCUUGUGUUGGGGACCUGCGGCUGCCGCAGGCCCUGAAAACCAGUGGCGGGCUCGCUAGUCACUCCGAGCGUAGUAAUACAUCUCGCUCAGGGCGUGCUGCGGGUUCCGGCCGUUAAAAAGCCUUAUUUACCCAAGGUUGACCUCGGAUCAGGUAGGAAGACCCGCUGAAAUUAAGCAUAUCAAUAAGCGGAGGA
rnacentral:misc_RNA from 1 species